CUAUCAAUAGUCCUUUGUGGUGUCAUGGGAUGGCCUGCCUGAGAACCUGCACACUGGCAAUUUGUGUGGUUAAGUGGCCUUGGGACAACAAGCACCUGGCUGAUGAUAAGGCUUGCACUUGGAGUAUAAAGGAAAGGGGAAAAAAAGAACCAUUACACAGGGCCAAGAAGCAGAAGAUCAAGGAGACCAACCAAUCCCAAUGGGGUUGAUGAAAAUCUGCACAGUGCCAAGGAGCACAAGCUAAAAAAGGACUAAACCAAUCCAGGUAGGAUCGAUGGACUACGCCAAUACAAAAGGACUUA
rnacentral:lncRNA from 1 species